GGAGGUAUAGCUCAGUGGUAGAGUGCAUGCUUAGCAAACACAAGGUCCUGAGUUCAAUCCCCAGUACUGCCA
rnacentral:tRNA from 1 species